UACGAAGGGGGCUAGCGUUGUUCGGAAUUACUGGGCGUAAAGCGCACGUAGGCGGUUCGAUCAGUCAGGGGUGAAAUCCCAGGGCUCAACCCUGGAACUGCCUUUGAUACUGUCGAUCUGGAGUAUGGAAGAGGUGAGUGGAAUUCCGAGUGUAGAGGUGAAAUUCGUAGAUAUUCGGAGGAACACCAGUGGCGAAGGCGGCUCACUGGUCCAUUACUGACGCUCAUGUGCGAAAGCGUGGGGAGCAAACAGG
rnacentral:rRNA from 1 species